CCUACGGGAGGCUGCAGUAGGGAAUCUUCCGCAAUGGACGAAAGUCUGACGGAGCAACGCCGCGUGAGUGAUGAAGGUUUUCGGAUCGUAAAGCUCUGUUGUUAGGGAAGAACAAGUGCCGUUCAAAUAGGGCGGCACCUUGACGGUACCUAACCAGAAAGCCACGGCUAACUACGUGCCAGCAGCCGCGGUAAUACGUAGGUGGCAAGCGUUGUCCGGAAUUAUUGGGCGUAAAGGGCUCGCAGGCGGUGUCUUAAGUCUGAUGGGAAAGCCCCCGGCUCAACCGGGGAGGGUCAUUGGAAACUGGGGAACUUGCGUGCAGAAGAGGAGAGUGGAAUUCCACGUGUAGCGGUGAAAUGCGUAGAGAUGUGGAGGAACACCAGUGGCGAAGGCGACUCUCUGGUCUGUAACUGACGCUGAGGAGCGAAAGCGUGGGGAGCGAACAGGAUUAGAUACCCGUGUAGUC
rnacentral:rRNA from 1 species